UACGUAGGCAGCAAGCGUUGUUCGGAGUUACUGGGCGUAAAGGGUGUGUAGGCGGCCUUCUAAGUUUGGUGUGAAAUCUCCCGGCUCAACCGGGAGGGUGCGCCGAAGACUGGGGGGCUAGAGUAUCGGAUGGGAGAGUGGAAUUCCUGGUGUAGCGGUGAAAUGCGUAGAUAUCAGGAGGAACACCUGCGGUGUAGACGGCUCUCUGGACGAUAACUGACGCUGAGACACGAAAGCGUGGGUAGCAAACAGG
rnacentral:rRNA from 1 species